CCUACGGGAGGCAGCAGUGGGGAAUUUUGGACAAUGGGCGAAAGCCUGAUCCAGCAAUGCCGCGUGCAGGAAGAAGGCCUUCGGGUUGUAAACUGCUUUUGUACGGAACGAAAAGGUCUGCCCUAAUACGGCGGGCUCAUGACGGUACCGUAAGAAUAAGCACCGGCUAACUACGUGCCAGCAGCCGCGGUAAUACGUAGGGUGCGAGCGUUAAUCGGAAUUACUGGGCGUAAAGCGUGCGCAGGCGGUUAUAUAAGACAGUUGUGAAAUCCCCGGGCUCAACCUGGGAAUUGCAUCUGUGACUGUAUAGCUAGAGUACGGUAGAGGGGGAUGGAAUUCCGCGUGUAGCAGUGAAAUGCGUAGAUAUGCGGAGGAACACCGAUGGCGAAGGCAAUCCCCUGGACCUGUACUGACGCUCAUGCACGAAAGCGUGGGGAGCAAACAGGAUUAGAUACCCUGGUAGUCCACGCCCUAAACGAUGUCAUGUUGUGGUNNAUAUACUCAGUAGAGACACGCGNGAGUGACGCGNGGAGACGCGCGAGUAGAACGUAGAGAGUAGAGNGNGAGAGNGCGAGACGACGACGAGGGAGGAGG
rnacentral:rRNA from 1 species